rnacentral:rRNA from 1 species
CAAUAGCGUAUAUUUAAGUUGUUGCAGUUAAAAAGCUCGUAGUUGGAUUUCGGGUGGGACGCAGCGGUCUCGCAUUGCGUUUGUACUGCUGCAGCCCUCCUUCUUGCCGGGGGCGGCCUCUCGGACUUCACUGUCUUGGGGUCAGAAUCGGCGAUGUUACUUUGAGUAAAUUAGAGUGUUCAAAGCAAGCUUACGCUCUGAAUAUAAUAGCAUGGGAUAACACGACAGGACUCUGGCCUAUCGUGUUGGUCUAUAGGACCAGAGUAAUGAUUAAGAGGGACAGUCGGGGGCAUUCGUAUUCCGUUGUCAGAGGUGAAAUUCUUGGAUUUACGGAAGACGAACAUCUGCGAAAGCAUUUGCCAAGGAUGUUUNCAUUGA